CAAUAGCGUAUAUUAAAGUUGUUGCGGUUAAAAAGCUCGUAGUUGGAUUUCUGGAGGGAGCGUCGGCCCGUAUUUACGAGUGCGUGACGUCUCUGUCCAUCCUUGCGGGAAGGCACGGCAUUGAUUUGUUGUGUCGGAUCGCAUCAUUUACUGUGAAAAAAUUAGAGUGUUCAAAGCAGGCUUUCGCUUGAAUACAUUAGCAUGGAAUAAUAAGAUAGGACUUUGGUGCUGUUUUGUUGGUUGAGCCUAAAGUAAUGAUUAAUAGGGAUAGUUGGGGGCACCUGUAUUGCGUUGUCAGAGGUGAAAUUCUUGGAUUUACGCAAGACAAACAGCUGCGAAAGCGUCUGCCAAGGAUGUUUUCAUUAA
rnacentral:rRNA from 1 species